UGACUGCAUUUUAUGUAGUCAAAUGUUUUCAUGGUGUUUUUCCGUGGUGUUUUUCUAUCACGUUUCUUUCUGGCUGUCUGCAGCUGUGUCUCGUUUGGAAGACUGCGUGCUAGGUAGGACGUGUCCUUUGAAGGCUGCAGUAUACAGAGGGUUUUGUAUGUGCCAGCACCACUGGCAUUUUCUUUAGUAUAAGUUCCUAUUGCAUUAUGAUUUGUCUACAAGAACUGUUUAGACAAAAUCCUAAAUGUUUGAUCUGAGUUGCUAAUUGCUGUUUAAAUUGGCUUAGAGAUAGGGUGAGGAGCUCAGUCAUUCGUGAGGAGCUCGGAGUAUAGCCGCUGCUCCUUUGCGUCGAAAGGAGCCAGUUGAGGUGGUUUGGGCAUCUGGUAAGGGUGCCCCCUGGGCGCCUCCCUAAGGAGGUAUUUCAGGCACGUCCAGCUGGGAGGAGGCCUCGGGGAAGACCCAGGACUAGGUGGAGAGAUUACAUCUCCACACUGGCCUGGGAACGCCUCGGGGUCGCCCAGUCAGAGCUGGUUAAUGUGGCUCGGGAUAGGGAAAUUUGGGACCCCUUGCUGGAGCUGCUGCCCCGCGACCCGACAUCGGAUAAGUGGUUGAAGAUGGAUGGAUGGAUGCAGGGGCGAAAAUUUCAUUAAAAUGUUGGGGGGGACAAUAAACAUAACAAUUUUCAAGAGCAAUUUUUGAAGGGGACACCAAGGUUUUUUUUGUUGUUGCCCCGUUUGCAUUUGUAUUAUUUUAUUUCUUAAACAUUGUUUUAAGAAUAUAUCAUUAUAUUAUUUACAAUACACAUAUUUUAAUGAUAUUUUAGGGGGGGACAACCCUCAGAUGGGGGGGUCCUGACCUCCCCGACCCCCGCGCGAUUUCCGCCUAUGGAUGGAUGCAUGUUCUUAAAAAUAUAAUAAAGUGUGUUUCUUCAAGCCUGUGUCUUUGUGUCUAACAGCAUUUCUUGUCAUGUUUCACUCUGAGAUGUCUUGCAGGUCGACAACCACAGAGGCGGAUAGACGAGCAAAAUUACCUGCCUCUGUGCAUGAAAUAGACAACCCGCAAUUGGCAGGUUGUGACUCGAGCAGGUACUAAUUUAACAUCCUGUGCUACUAUUUAACAUUUUUGCUGACUUCCCAGCUCCAUAGUUUUGUCAUUUCCCGAUAUUGUUGAACAUCGCCUGUCAAUAAGUCUUGAUAUCGGCAUCGGGGUAUUUGUCAGAUAUCAUUGUUUUCCAAUUACAUCGCCCAGCCCAAUUAUGAAUAAUUAAAAGUCCUGCGUUAUGCACCAAAUCUUUUGGGGGUUUGGUUGAACAACAAAUCUGGAAUUUUGCUCAGUUUGGACUCUUGCUGCUUCUAUGUCUGUGCCGUCACAGUAAGUACUAAGACAUUUUUUUAACAUUCAAAAAAGCUAUUUUAAAAAGUGAUGAUUAAUCAGUUAUUGGCCGUUUCCACCAUGCCAGAUUUACCUUCAGAUACUGAACCCACAGUUUUUUCAUCUUGUCAUGUAAUUGCUCAUUGGUUCUUUGGUAUCCACAAGCACAAAGUUAGUUGCAAAUCUUAUCAAAUAUCUUGUAGUUCUUGUGUGUUGUAUCCAGUUGUUCCUGUAUACUCUCAUCUGCCCACAUUUCCAGUAAACACUGCACCUAUGGCGUUGAGCAAAAUUAUCCCUUUGACCAAUUGUAUCAAUGACAUCAUGUUUCGAGUUCCAUGCUGAUGUUAGCGAUCACACUAGAUGCGUACUGUGCCUGAGCCAACAGAACAGUGCCCGAGCCCAUCUCUUCAAGUGGACAAAGGCACGGUUCAGCCUACCAUGCCUGGGCACGGUAUGGAGUGAUCACACUAGUCAAACAAACUGGAAUUUGGGGGUCAAACGUGCUCGGGCACAGUACAGAUUGCCUAGUGUGUGUGCACCCUAAGUUAACUGUGCCUUAAGCAGCUUGGAAAAUUCCAGAAAAUGGUGUCAAUCCUUUAGGCAAUUAGACAAUUAGCUUGCUGAUAGGCUAAUCUGAGUCUUUUUUAGGUGUACCUGUGGAUGUAUUUUAAGGCAUACCUUCAAACUCAGUGCCUUUUUGCUUGACAUCAUGGGAAAAUUAAAAGAAAUCGGCCAAACCUCAGAAAAAAUUGUUUGGACCUCCACAAGUCUGGUUCAUCCUUGGGAGCAAUUUCCAAAUGCCUGAAGUUCAUCUGUACAAACAAUAGUACACACGUAUAAACAAUAUGGGACCAUGCAGCCAUCAUACCGCUCAGGAAGGAGACGCAUUCUGUCUCCUGGAGAUGAAUGUAGUUUGGUGUGAAAAGUGCAAAUCGAUCCCAUAAGGACAGCAAAGGACCUUGUGAAAUGCUGGAUGGAAUAGAUAGACAAGUAUCUAUAUCCACAGUAAAACAAGUCCUAUAUCGACAUAACCUGGAAGGCUGCUCAGCUAGGAAUAAGUCACUGCUCCGAAACUGCCAUAAAAAAGCCAGACUUUAGUUUGCAAGAGCACAUGGGGAAAAAGAUUGUACUUUUUGGAGAGAUGUCCUCUCUUCUGAUGAAACAAAAAUGGAACAGUUUGGCCAUAAUGACCAUCAUUAUGUUUGGAGGAAAAAGGGUGAGGCUUGCAAGGCGAGGAGUGGCGCAUGGGGAUGGCAGCAUAGUGUUGUGGGUGUGCAUUGCUGCAGGAGGGACUGGUGCAUUUCACAAAUAGAUAGCAUCAUGAAGAAGGAAAAAUAAUGUGGAUAUAUUGAAGGAAUAUCUCAAUACAUCAACCAUGAAGUUAAAGCUCUGUUGCAAAUGGGUCUUCCAAAUGGACAAUGACCCCAAGCAUACGUCCAAAGAUGUGGCAAAAUGGCUUAAGGACAACAAGUCAAGGUGUUGGAUUGGCCAUCAUAAAGCCCUGACCACAAUCCAAUAGAAAAUUUGUGGGCAGAACUGAUGAAGCGUGUGCGAGCAAGGAGGCCAAAUAUUGGUUUGACCUGUUUUUUUUGUUUUUUUGGUCAAAUAUAUAGUAAUUUGUUUGUUCUUAUAAGUGAAUUACACUUUGGCAGAUAAAGACAAUGCAGCGUUAUGUGUGGACGAAGAGAGAAAGUACUGAGAAGGGACAGCCUUUAGUGGAUCUUGUUGAUCAGGUGAGUUUUAUUCUUCACCAUGUUGAAAUUCCACAUAACUCAAAUAACUUGUAUCUUACGGCAUCUUGCUGUUCAUUUUUUGUGUUGAUUUAUUGUUAUAUCAGCAAUGGUUGUUUCUAUGUUUUGGCCUUUUUCAACUGGUUUGUUUUUAAUUUCCUCAAACAUGUGUGAAUAGGGUUAAAAGCAGUAGCGAUGUGGUGGGCGCUAUGCUGCGAGAGCUGAGGCUGUACAUUUUCAGAAGUAGAAUAUAAAUGCAGAUAUGUUUAAAAUAAAAAUAAUGUUUUUGACACAUGGCUUCCUCUUCAUUUUUAUGGUGUGUGAACCAGAAGAACUGACUCUGAUUCAUAAUCUGAGGAAGAUAUUGAAAAAUUAUUGGAGUAGAGGUGCCAUUCAAACAGCUUUGUCUCAGGCAGGGUCGCUUUUCAAGCCACGAUCUGCGUACCUUCCCAUAGAGCUGCUAGGAGAGGAGGGGUUUGAUAAUAUGGAACCUUUUGUGCCAGCUUCUGUCUCCAACUACAGCGAGAAAGAGUUUGAGAGCUGUUACCUGUACUAUUUAGACCACAACUGGCUUCAGCAUCUGCAGAGUAAAUUUGUGUACUUAAACCUGAGAGUUAGCAUUGCUGUUACUGUGAGGAGAAUUAAUCUAUACUAUAUGUAUGUUCCAGUAUCAAUUGCUUUAAGACUACACAGGAAACAUGACCUUAUACUUCAAUUUAAAUGUAUAAAUAAUAAAAAUAAAUGCAGAAAUGACAUAUCUAUUUACAACUUCUUGA